rnacentral:lncRNA from 1 species
CCCAUGCCUUUACCAAUGUGAAAUUCUAGAUUCCAUCCACCAGGGAUUGCCAGUGGCUAGGAUAUCAGAUGGCAAACGAAUGGAUACAAUGUCAUGACAGUAUUACUCACGAUAUGUAAUUAAGACUAACGGUCGUACAACGCUAAUAGUCUUACGAUAAUCAGUUACUGCCACCAACGUAACGCAGACACAGAAUUAUACCUAAGAGACGGUUCAAAUCAAAUGGUAUAUUUCCGUGCUGUAUCUGAGUCUCGUCUGGUUCAGUUGAGUUGUCGUUAUGAGGCAGUGGUAGGCAGGAAGUCAGUUCAGUUGAGUUGUCGUUAUGAGGCAGUGGUAGGCAGGAAGUCGGUUCAGUUGAGUUGUCGUUAUGAGGCAGUGGUAGGCAGGAAGUCAGUUCAGUUGAGUUGUCGUUAUGAGGCAGUGGUAGGCAGGAAGUCAGUUCAGUUGAGUCGUCGUUAUGAGGCAGUGGUAGGCAGGAAGUCAGUUCAGUUGAGUUGUCGUUAUGAGGCAGUGGUAGGCAGGAAGUCAGCAGGAAGUCAGUACAGUUGAGUUGUCGUUAUGAGGCAGUGGUAGGCAGGAAGUCAGCAGGAAGUCAGUGGUCCGGGUGUUGAAGUUCGUAGCCGGAGACGUUAAUCCCUCGUAAGUUCGCCGUUCUUUCUCUAUUCCUGUUCUCAAUUCGUUCAGUCCAUAACAUACCCCAGCGUAUAACGACGUUAAAGUAUGUCGUUGGUUCAGGUCCCUUCUGGGACAGAUGAAGACUCAGAACGAUUGAACGAUCAGA